rnacentral:rRNA from 1 species
GACGAACCGUGCAAACGUUGUUCGGAAUCACUGGGCUUAAAGGGCGCGUAGGCGGGCGAUCAAGUCCGGGGUGAAAUCUUUCGGCUCAACCGGAAAACUGCCUUGGAUACUGAUCGCCUCGAGGGAGGUAGGGGCAGGUGGAACUUCCGGUGGAGCGGUGAAAUGCGUUGAUAUCGGAAGGAACGCCGGUGGCGAAAGCGGCCUGCUGGAUCUCUUCUGACGCUGAGGCGCGAAAGCUAGGGGAGCAAACGGG